rnacentral:rRNA from 1 species
CACUCCUACGGGAGGCAGCAGUGGGGAAUUUUGGACAAUGGGCGAAAGCCUGAUCCAGCCAUGCCGCGUGCAGGAUGAAGGCCUUCGGGUUGUAAACUGCUUUUGUACGGAACGAAACGGCCUUUUCUAAUAAAGAGGGCUAAUGACGGUACCGUAAGAAUAAGCACCGGCUAACUACGUGCCAGCAGCCGCGGUAAUACGUAGGGUGCAAGCGUUAAUCGGAAUUACUGGGCGUAAAGCGUGCGCAGGCGGUUAUGUAAGACAGUUGUGAAAUCCCCGGGCUCAACCUGGGAACUGCAUCUGUGACUGCAUAGCUAGAGUACGGUAGAGGGGGAUGGAAUUCCGCGUGUAGCAGUGAAAUGCGUAGAUAUGCGGAGGAACACCGAUGGCGAAGGCAAUCCCCUGGACCUGUACUGACGCUCAUGCACGAAAGCGUGGGGAGCAAACAGGAUUAGAUACCCGUGUAGUCC